rfam:Methanoplanus limicola DSM 2279 chromosome, whole genome shotgun sequence.
GCGAGAGUUGCCAAGCCUGGUCAAAGGCGAUAGGUUCAGGGCCUAUUCUCGUAGGAGUUCGCAGGUUCGAAUCCUGCCUCUCGCA